GACGGAGGAUGCAAGCGUUAUCCGGAAUUAUUGGGCGUAAAGCGUCCGCAGGUGGCUGUUCAAGUCUGCUGUCAAAGCGCAGAGCUUAACUCUGUACAGGCGGUGGAAACUGAAGAGCUAGAGUAUGGUAGGGGUAGAGGGAAUUCCCGGUGUAGCGGUGAAAUGCGUAGAUAUCGGGAAGAACACCAGUGGCGAAAGCGCUCUACUGGGCCAUAACUGACACUGAGGGACGAAAGCUAGGGGAGCGAAAGGG
rnacentral:rRNA from 2 species